rnacentral:rRNA from 1 species
AAGGCCUACGGGACGCAGCAGUUAGGAAUAUUCGUCAAUGGGGGAAACCCUGAACGAGCAAUGCCGCGUGAACGAUGACGGUCCUCUGGAUUGUAAAGUUCUGUUGUUUGGGAAGAACGGCUCUAAUAGGAAAUGAUUAGAGAUUGACUGUACCAUUCAAGAAAGCCACGGCUAACUACGUGCCAGCAGCCGCGGUAAUACGUAGGUGGCGAGCGUUAUCCGGAUUUAUUGGGUUUAAAGGGAGCGUAGAUGGGUUGUUAAGUCAGUUGUGAAAGUCCGCGGCUCAACCGUGGAAUUGCAGUUGA